rnacentral:rRNA from 1 species
UCACAAUGGACGAAAGUCUGAUGGAGCAACGCCGCGUGAGUGAAGAAGGUUUUCGGAUCGUAAAACUCUGUUGUUGGAGAAGAACGUAUUUGAUAGUAACUGAUCAGGUAGUGACGGUAUCCAACCAGAAAGCCACGGCUAACUACGUGCCAGCAGCCGCGGUAAUACGUAGGUGGCAAGCGUUGUCCGGAUUUAUUGGGCGUAAAGCGAGCGCAGGCGGUUUCUUAAGUCUGAUGUGAAAGCCUUCGGCUCAACCGAAGAAGUGCAUCGGAAACUGGGAAACUUGAGUGCAGAAGAGGACAGUGGAACUCCAUGUGUAGCGGUGAAAUGCGUAGAUAUAUGGAAGAACACCAGUGGCGAAGGCGGCUGUCUGGUCUGUAACUGACGCUGAGGCUCGAAAGCAUGGGUAGCAAACAGGAUUAGAUACCCUGGUAGUCCAUGCCGUAAACGAUGAGUGCUAGGUGUUGGAGGGUUUCCGCCCUUCAGUGCCGCAGCUAACGCAUUAAGCACUCCGCCUGGGGAGUACGACCGCAAGGUUGAAACUCAAAGGAAUUGACGGGGCCCC